UUAACUUUGCAGAAGGGUUGACAUCCUGGUCAGUUGGUGCAUAGUUGGUGCAUAGCAAGCGACAAAGGAAAAGAAGCGAUGUUAGCAUCAUAAAAAUUGGGCUAUCAACUGUUGAUAGCCCAGUCGUGGUGUGAACAUCUCUUCUUGCCCUUUGUUGCUUGUUGCUUGUGACUGGCUUUUUCCUUCAGCUUAUUAACUAUACAAUUGAUGAAAAUGUGUUAGUAAGAUCAUGAUGGGAAUGAAAGGAUAUAUGCUUGGUAUUGAUAGAAUUGAACAAGAUAUUAGUGCUAUAAUGUGGAAUUCCUAUUUUGAAUUGUCACAAGAGAGCCUCAUAAUAUUUUGCACAUGAUCAUGAAUGAGGAUACAAUGACUUGUAUUUUUGCCUUCAUGUAAUCGGUAAAAAAAAAUGUUGUGCUUACUGCUGCUCUAAUAAUGCUCAAGCUUCACAUCAAGAUUGCAUUUUCUAGUCCAGAUUGCUCAAUAUAACACUUGACACUGUUACUUGCCUGGAUUUUUAAGAAAGAAGUGCAAAGUUGCCUUCGUCUGCCCCCUUCACAAUUGGGCAAGCUAGCUUCUGCUAAGGCAACACUAGUAUUGACUGGUGUUGCUUUGACUCCGCUGUUGACGGCAAUAUUUUUGUAAUUGUUCAGUGAAGACUUGCCACGGCAACAGUUGUUUUCAUACUAAUUCGACUAUAUUUGUGGCAAACGUUUAUUAUGCCAUUGUAUUGCGCAAAGGAAAAGGUGGUGGCUGUCUUUGGGCUGGUCCAGACGGGCUCACUUGAUACAACGAAGGCAUACUUGAAGAGAAGUUUCACCGAGGACCUCUCUCCUCUUGGAGCAUGCUGCUGUGGAAGAAGAGGUCCAGAGAAACUGGCAGCACAAAUAAUAUGCAAAGAAGGGACAAGGGGAAGAAUCGCCAAAGUUUAACAGAGGCCUAAAAGUCUGCCUAUCUUAUUUUAUCAUGGUCCAUCCUGCUCAGCACAACAUCACAAAACUCCUGGUGUAGCCCCAAGGGUCCCAAAACUUUCUUUUGUCAUUGUUGCUGUUACUGUAGUAAUUAUUUACUUAAUAAACAGAAGCUUUUACUAUG